rnacentral:ncRNA from 1 species
UGGCCCAUCGGGGCAAUGGAUACCUGAUUUUUUUUU